UUGAUUCAGUGAUGCUUGAUGCCGAGAGAGAGAGAGGGCAUCGGCAACACCAGAAGUCGAUGUGAGAGGAUACCAGUGCUGAAUACCAGGCGACUUUUCAGAAAACGCUGAAUUGAUGGACCCAAGGAACCCAAAGGCGAGCCGGAACCAAGAAAAGGAAUUCAACUGAACAUACCUCCCAAACUGCAGUGUGGUUCCACACUGGCACCAUUUCUCAAACCGUGAGGAGGCUCCACAAGGCCCAACAUGAUGCCAGCAAAUGUUAUGAUGCACAUUUAAGUGUGUCUUCACCCCACAAUUCUAAGGUGACCACCUUUCUGGCACAGGACGUUUCAUUGGCC